UGGUUCAUAACCUAACUUGUUUGCUGUUUGUGCUUCUGUUCAGUCAUGUUUACGGCGUAUCACGGAAUAAACGAUGUAUAGUUGUGCAAAAACAAUCGGGCACCCAUGGUGAUAGUUCCGAAGGUGAUGAUGAAGAUAGAUCUCCUCAGCCAAGAGACCCUCGACCUGAUAGAAGACGGACCUUGGACCCAUUGGAGAGUGUCCAUGAUGUUGAGGAUAUAACGCCGAAUCUAUUGAAAUAUCAAAUUCUGCCGACGAAGAGAUACUUGGGCGAUAUCAGGAGAUUCAAAAAUCGAUUUUACAGAACAAACUAAACCAUUUCAAGCCGAGUUUACUAUUUCAAUCUUUUACGUAUAU